rnacentral:Y_RNA from 1 species
GACUGGUCCGAUUGUAGUGGGCUCCAAUGAUUGACAUUUCUCUCAGUCAGUUAACUACUAUCCUGUUUGUUACCCCUUCCCGCUCACUACGCAAUUUGACUAGUCUUUU